AGGCCUAACACAUGCAAGUCGAGCGCCGUAGCAAUACGGAGCGGCAGACGGGAGAGUAACACGUGGGAACGUGCCCUUCAGUUCGGAACAACCCAGGGAAACUUGGGCUAAUACCGGAUACGUCCGUAAGGAGAAAGAUUUAUCGCUGAAGGAUCGGCCCGCGUCUGAUUAGCUAGUUGGUGGGGUAAUGGCCCACCAAGGCGACGAUCAGUAGCUGGUCUGAGAGGAUGAUCAGCCUCACUGGGACUGAGACACGGCCCAG
rnacentral:rRNA from 1 species